rnacentral:rRNA from 1 species
UACGUAGGGUGCAAGCAUUAAUCGGAAUUAUUGGGCGUAAAGGGCGCGUAGGCGGAUUGAUAAGUCAGAUGUGAAAUACCAAAGCUCAACUUUGGUGCUGCAUUUGAAACUGUCUCUCUAGAGGAUUGACGGAGAAAGCGGAAUUCCACGUGUAGCGGUGAAAUGCGUAGAUACGUGGAGGAACACCGGUGGCGAAAGCGGCUUUCUAGUUUAUACCUGACGCUGAGGCGCGAGAGCAAGGGGAGCAAACAGG